rnacentral:rRNA from 1 species
AUGAAUGAUGCAGAAAUAGAUUUGGUGCUUGCUAAAAAUAAAGCAGACGUACUUGAAGCACGCAAUUACGUCCAUGGCCAGCCAUUUCUUGUUGACGAAUACUUCGGUGAGUGCAGCUCCAGUUGCCUCGAGUUACAUGAAUAUUGCAUGGAUCAAAUGUCAGCAGGUCAUCAUGUUCUGCUAGUCCACUACAACAGAGAUCAUUUCCGACACAUUGUUGGUUCCAUCAAUGUGAGUUUCGAGGACUUACAUCUCUUCUUCAACUUCAACGAGCUUGAUACCACUCUUGUUAGAUGCCUGAUUUUGGGAUUGAACGCGCAGAGAAGAAAAAGGGAGAGUGUGUAUUUCAUAGAUCCUGCAUUAGCAAAUGGCAUGACAUUAGAUGGUAAGGACCUAUGGGACUGGGCCAUUAACACGGUCGUCUAUAUAUUCGAAAACACGUCCCAUGCAGAAUCAUUUCUCUGGGCAUAUCAUGAAUGUGUGCUCGCAUUGUGGAAAACUAAACCAGGGAACCUAUUCAAGAGGGAACUACCUCUGUAG